rnacentral:tRNA from 1 species
GGGCGGUUACCCAAGUGGCCAAAGGGACCUGACUGUAAAUCAGCUGGCGUGUCGCCUUCGGAGGUUCGAAUCCUUCACCGCCCA